AUGGCAUGUGGGACACCACCUCAACACGGCCUGAUGAGUGGUGCCAUGUCCGCGCCCAGCAUCCGAACUGGCCCAACCCUGGGCCCCCACAGUGGAGCGCACGAACUUAACUACUCAAACACGGGGCUGGCCCCCCAAAUAUAUAUUUUUUAUAAUCACAUUAUCACAAGAAACUCCUUGGGUGUGGUAGUGGAUUCCCGUAUAAAAUCCCAACACAGUGAUUCUGUAGUCUUGGAUUGGGUUAUUUAAAGAGCUUAGGAUUUCCGUAGGAGAACAGGAUUCCUCAGCACUCCAAAUCUAGGUGCUGCAAGCCCCUUAGAGAAAGCUCUAAAUCUCCUCAUGCAGACAAAGUGGGAACAACAAAUUCAGCCUCAUACUGAUUGUCCUUUCCAGGCCACCUCACCUGUGGGCAAGGAAGGAUAGGGGACCCUGAGACAGUCAUGCUCUGGUAUCAACCAAGAGCUUGCAGAGAGUGUUCAGAGAAGUAAGGGUGCCAGACAGACUCUUCUGCCUGUCACACAUGGCAUCACAGGCAAAGCAAGUCAGAGAUAGACUCGAAUAGCAACAGAUGUCCCCCAAAGCUGCCCACAAGGCAAGCUGGGGCUGGACAUGAGCCAAAGGAUGAGUGUGAUUUCCAGGGAUACAGUAGAAAUAUGACAGAUGGGGAAGAACGCAGAACCCUUUUCCAUGUGCAACGUGUCCAGGGAGAUAUUCAGGGCCAAGGAGCUUGGUGCUCUUCAAUCAAAAACUGGUGACAUCUUGACAACCAGCAAGCUGGGAAGCUUCCAAAUGGUAAAGGUGAAUGAGAAUAAGGUAGAACCUACUGUGACCACUGAAAGCCCCCCACCAAAAAGUUCAGUUCCCCAAGAUCCUAAAUCACCAGACCUUACAGAACAGCUGUUUUGUGGGUUAAAGUCUAAACUGGACAAGAGGGAGUAGAGCCAGGCCCAUUGCCUCAGAGAGCUUGACUUACAAGGCCUCACUGACUCAUGCCCAGGGUGUCUCCAGGGGGCACAUGGGAGUUACCCAGGGGCUACACGUCCAUUUGGAGGAUAGAGGAAUCAGUGUGGAGCAGUGGCAGGAGCCUUGGGUCUCUACACAAGUCUCAAGGAGAUGCCAAGAUAAGAAUUUCCCACCUGCUGCAAAGAGAGUGGGCCGUCUGGGCCCCAAAGCAGAAGAGCUUGGUGGAGGGGAUGCAGGGUUGGGGACAUCCAAACCUAGAAGGAAGAGUUUCCCUACUCAGGACAUGGCAUUAGAGGAGACACUUGGGAGUAAGUCUUCCCAGACCCCAUCACAGAAGGGACAGCCUCCUCCUGAAAGCCUUUUCAGAAAAAAAUGAAGCCCUUUUUGCAACGGCUUUAUCCUGGGAUAAAAUGCAAAAGGCAAGAGAAUUCCCACGAAAAGGGCAUCCCCAUGUCAUCUGCACAGAGCAGAGGCCCAGAUAAAAGCAGAGCUGCUUUUACCAGGACGACUGAAGCUCAGAAGAUCAAGACAGAUGCUGGGAAGUUCCAAGAGGAGACAGUGAGGCAUAUUUAUGUGACUGAUAUCAUCUGCCCUAGAGAGCCACUUUCCUCCGGGGUGAAGUUUGGAAAACUUGUCAGAAGGCAGAAGAAGUGCAGGCCCUGGCAGAGCCUCUCCAGGGACAUCCUUCCCACUACAGGUCUUCCUCCUUUAAAGUGACAAACAGCAAGUCCUGCCACCAUCAAGCUCUCUUUGCUGGCCAGAGUUAUCCUACAAGUAUUAGAUGGAUCUGAGACGAGGACAGACAACCCCAGAAAGUUGUGCCCCCCGCUACAUAGUUGUAUAUUCUUCGUUGUGGGUCCUUCCAGUUGUGGCAUGUGGGACCUCAGCGUGGUUUGAUGAGCAGUGCCAUGUCCGCGCCCAGGAUCUGAACCAACGAAACACUGGGCCGCCUGCAGCGGAGCGCGCGAACUUAACCACUCAGCCACGGGGCCAGCCCCCAACGUAUUUUUUCUUUUAAAGUUCACUGUAUUAUUCAUUAGCCUUGAAAUUGGAAUCUGAAUUGACCUUAAUCAGAAAUCAUAGAAAAUGUUUAAGCAAAUAUUUUAAGCCCUAUCAUAUUCUGAGUACUGGUUCAGGAUAAAGUGGUAUCAAUGUGACAAGAAUAAACGACAGGUAAUCAGAAGAUGGAGUUUAAAUCCUAGUUCUGUCAUUUAAUACUGUGUGACCUAGGG
rnacentral:lncRNA from 1 species